rnacentral:rRNA from 1 species
GAAUAUGUAGUGUAGCGGUGAAAUGCUUAGAUAUUACAUGGAAUACCAAUUGCGAAGGCAGGUUACUACGUACUUAUUGACGCUGAUGAACGAAAGCGUGGGUAGCGAACAGGAUUAGAUACCCUGGUAGUCCACGCCGUAAACGAUGGAUACUAGCUGUUCGGACUUCGGUUUGAGUGGCUAAGCGAAAGUGAUAAGUAUCCCACCUGGGGAGUACGUUCGCAAGAAUGAAACUCAAAGGAAUUGACGGGGGCCCGCACAAGCGGUGGAGCAUGUGGUUUAAUUCGAUGAUACGCGAGGAACCUUACCAGGGCUUAAAUGUAGAUUGACAGGUUUGGAAACAGACUUUUCUUCGGACAAUUUACAAGGUGCUGCAUGGUUGUCGUCAGCUCGUGCCGUGAGGUGUCAGGUUAAGUCCUAUAACGAGCGCAACCCCUAUUGUUAGUUACCAGCGCGUUAAGGCGGGGACUCUAGCAAGACUGCCGGUGCAAACCGUGAGGAAGGUGGGGAUGACGUCAAAUCAUCACGGCCCUUACGUCCUGGGCUACACACGUGCUACAAUGGCAAGUACAGAAAGCAGCUACCUGGCAACAGGAUGCGAAUCUCCAAAGCUUGUCUCAGUUCGGAUUGGAGUCUGCAACUCGACUCUAUGAAGCUGGAAUCGCUAGUAAUCGGAUAUCAGCCAUGAUCCGGUGAAUACGUUCCCGGGCCUUGUACACACCGCCCGUCAAGCCAUGGAAGCUGGGGGUACCUGAAG